UACGGAGGGGGCUAGCGUUGUUCGGAAUUACUGGGCGUAAAGCGCACGUAGGCGGCUUUGCAAGUUAGAGGUGAAAGCCCGGGGCUCAACUCCGGAAUUGCCUUUAAAACUGCAUCGCUAGAAUUGUGGAGAGGUAAGUGGAAAUUCCGAGUGUAGAGGUGAAAUUCGUAGAUAUUCGGAAGAACACCAGUGGCGAAGGCGACUUACUGGACACAUAUUGACGCUGAGGUGCGAAAGCGUGGGGAGCAAACAGG
rnacentral:rRNA from 1 species